rnacentral:rRNA from 1 species
CCUACGGGAGGCUGCAGUGAGGAAUAUUGGUCAAUGGACGAGAGUCUGAACCAGCCAAGUAGCGUGAAGGAUGAAGGUUCUAUGGAUCGUAAACCUCUUUUAUAAGGGAAUAAAGUGUGGGACGUGUCCUAUUUUGUAUGUACCUUAUGAAUAAGGAUCGGCUAACUCCGUGCCAGCAGCCGCGGUAAUACGGAGGAUGCGAGCGUUAUCCGGAUUUAUUGGGUUAAAAGGGUGCGCGGGCGGGAGAUCAAGUCAGCGGUAAAAUGUCGGGGCUAAACCCCGGACGGCCGUUGAAACUGGUUUUCUAGAGUUGGAGAGAGGUAUGCGGAAUUCGUGGUGUAGCGGUGAAAUGCAUAGAUAUCACGAAGAACUCCGAUUGCGAAGGCAGCAUACCGGAUCCAAACUGACGCUGAGGCACGAAAGCGUGGGGAUCGAACAGGAUUAGAUACCCUAGUAGUC